CACAUUUCCUCCCGCACACCGACUUCCCCUGACUCUGCUCCCGCGCGUUUCUCCACCAAACCCGCAGCAGUUGUCUGACCCGCGCGGGCUCCCGUAUGUGACGUAGCCUUCGGGUUUUCGGUUUCCGGAAGUAGCCACGCUCGUGUCGGCAACAACAACAACAACAACGGCGGCGUAAAAAAACACAGUUCUGUUGCCAAAUUAUGACAAAUGUGUCCGCCACACGGGGUGCUCUCAAUGCGCCCUCAGCACAAACCAUACAGGACGAUGCCACGCCUGCAGUCCGAUGUUUGGAAGCAUUUCACCCCAUUCAUCAGAGGUGGGAGGGAGACCCCUGUCCGCCGUGACCUCGGCUGUACUCCAGAUCCCCCCGACAGCAGGAGCCGGCGAGAGCCUGCCGUUGCUUAUCUGCAGCACAAAGUUCCGAGGUUCCCUCUCAGCCGACAGGAUGCAGAAACUUGUAGCGGUGCAAGUGAAUCUGAACCUUUAAGAGCCGAGUGACUGUGAGUUCGCUCCGUUGGAGAGUGACGAAGAGAAGAAAGUUUCAUUUCAAUCAGAGACAAAAUGAGAUGUGAUUAACUUUAUAUCACAGACCACAUGGACUGUGAUGCUCAUUCAUUUAGAAGGAAAUAAAAAGGUAGCAACAAAAUACAGAGAGCUUCAGAAUUAAUUGAAUGAUUAAAAUGUAAAUUUGUUAAUUAAGUCUGAAUGUACUCUUCAAUGUGCAGAGUUAAUCUAAACUUUGUUCACAAUCCAUAAAAUGUGACUGAAUCAGAUGCUACAAUGCAAACUUGUGUAAUAUUUUUAUUAUUAUUGCAGUUUCAACUUUAUAAUCACAGCAUUAAAAUUAGCAGACCAACUAUGGUGCAUGAUAAGGGACAAAAUUAAGACUUCAUUGCUACUGAGAAGUAGGGUUGUGUACCGUCAGUGUGUUUUCCGAUAGCGGUGCUAAAACAAUACUUUUCAAGCAGUACCAAAAUGACAGUCAACGAUAAGACAAGGUUUUUUAUUGCUAAGGCAAAUUGGAACUUGAAAUUUCAACAUAUAAACUGUUAACCGUUUCCGUAGACUUACAAGAGGUUGAAGCUCUUUUGUGAGACUGUUUACAUGGUGUAAAUAAAAGCGUUGUAUUUAUUGAAGA